GACGAACGCUGGCGGCGUGCUUAACACAUGCAAGUCGAACGGAAAGGCCCUGCUUUUGUGGGGUGCUCGAGUGGCGAACGGGUGAGUAACACGUGAGUAACCUGCCCUUGACUUUGGGAUAACUUCAGGAAACUGGGGCUAAUACCGGAUAGGAGCUCCUGCUGCAUGGUGGGGGUUGGAAAGUUUCGGAGGUUGGGGAUGGACUCGCGGCUUAUCAGCUUGUUGGUGGGGUAGUGGCUUACCAAGGCUUUGACGGGUAGCCGGCCUGAGAGGGUGACCGGCCACAUUGGGACUGAGAUACGGCCCAGACUCCUACGGGAGGCAGCAGUGGGGAAUAUUGCACAAUGGGCGGAAGCCUGAUGCAGCAACGCCGCGUGCGGGAUGACGGCCUGCGGGUUGUAAACCGCUUUCGCCUGUGACGAAGCGUGAGUGACGGUAAUGUGUAAAGAAGCACCGGCUAACUACGUG
rnacentral:rRNA from 1 species